rnacentral:rRNA from 1 species
UGCCAGCCGCCGCGGUAAUACGGAGGGGGUCAGCGUUGUUCGGAAUUUCUGGGCGUAAAGAAUGCGUAGGCGGUUUUGUAAGUCAGGUGUGAAAUUCCGGAGCUUAACUCCGGCACUGCACUUGAAACUACAGAACUAGAGGAUAGACGGAGAAAGUAGAAUUCCAUAUGUAGCGGUGAAAUGCGUAGAUAUAUGGAGGAAUACCGGUGGCGAAGGCGACUUUCUAGUUUAUUCCUGACGCUGAGGUAUGAAAGCUAGGGCAGCAAACAGGAUUAGAUA